rnacentral:lncRNA from 1 species
CAUCAGCCUUAAGAUCUGCAAUCAUGACCACCGGUCAGUACCAUAUAUUAAAUUUUCAUCGGACAUAUAUUGUAUAGUUAUGCUGUUUUGAGAAUAUUAUUAAGAUGAACAACUGAUGCUUAACGUUGACCACAAUAUGGAUCCCAGCGAGAACUAGAACUAACGUGAGACAACCUUUGGUGAAUGAGACACUUGGAGAGGCAAACCCCUUCAGCUAUGGUGCAGGGCAUCUCUGGCCUAGCCGUGCAAUGGACCCAGGUUUGGUCUAUGACUUAACCACCACUGACUACUUGAACUUUCUGUGCUCUAUUGGCUACAAUGCAACCCAACUUUCAACAUUUGUGGACAAGGGAUAUGAAUGCCCAUCAAAGCCCAUGAGCCUUUUGAAUUUAAACUACCCCUCAAUUACCGUCCCCAGUCUCUCAGGCAAGGUAACAGUGACUCGGACCCUGAAGAAUGUUGGAACCCCAGCUACAUACACAGUUCGAACUGAGGUGCCUAGUGGAAUAUCGGUGAAGGUGGAGCCCAAUACGCUUAAAUUUGAAAAGAUUAAUGAAGAGAAAACAUUCAAGGUGAUAUUGGAAGCAAAGAGAGAUGGUAAGGGAGGUGAGUAUGUUUUUGGAAGGCUCAUAUGGUCAGAUGGAGAACACUACGUCAGAAGCCCUAUAGUGGUCAAUGCAACCACUCUUUAGAUAUAACCAUGAUUUUUAUUAUUAUUAUUAUUUUUGUAAUGUCAAGCUAAUUACCUAAAAUAAAUCUAUAUUUACCAUGUGGACUCACCAUUAAUAAAAAAGAGACCUUGAACUUCAUUUUGAUCUAAUAUCAUCCAUUUAAAUAUUACGAGGUUCUAAACUUCCAUCCAUAGUAGAAUUGUAAUAUAGAUGAGGCCUAAAUUCUAUAUAUUAAAAAGGUUGAAGCAAAUUUUAAGUCUUGAUAUAUGAACUACAUGAAGGGUGAUGAUUAGGUAGUCUAUGAAUUAAUCUUAAAUUCAAAUUUUAUUAUUAAUUUUUUAUUAAAUAAUUAAUGAAAGUACAUUAAUUUAACGUAUAUGUAAUUAAUAUCAAUCUCACACGGUGAUAGGAAAUAUAAUAUGGAAAAACUAUCUACCACCACGAGAUGGUGUCUCAAUUGCAAGUAAUUUAUUAAACAUGAGAAGAUGGUACAUAGAUUUAUCUUAUCAGGGAUAUCUACUCUUAUAAGAAAAUGUUUUUUAGUGGAUUGCUCAAAAGUUUUUAUCAAAAUUGAAACGUUUCAAGUCCAAAGCUUUUUGAUAUUUGAAUAGUAACUUAAAAAUGAAAAUAGAAAUUUUGAGAGAUGGAGGUUCAAACUUUGGAUGAUAUAACUAUUGUUCUCUUAAUGUCUUUAUUUUCCCAUAUAAUAAGACUUUUUAUAUUUGAAAAACUCCAAGCCUUUAAAAUUACAUAUCUAGUAACAAUAAUCAUCAAUAAGCUAGCACAUAAGGGGAAUGGAUAGGUGCUCAGGCCAAGCUAUGCAACAACCCAAGACUCCAGAACUACGAGUGUAGUAUCAAUGCAUUGAACAUGAGCCUCUAUUGCUACAAUCCAUGAAACAAUGUCCUCAAUGGAAGCAACAAUCCUUUGCAACAAGUGCUUCAGGCAACCAAAGAUGAGGAGCAUAUAGUUACACCCGCUAGAGUUCCCUGCACCUCGAAUAGCAACCCGAUGACAUAGAGAAGGUCCUUGAACAUCAUUGCCUACUCCGCAGCUCGAAUCUCCCACUCCUAAUCAUCCUUAAUUUUUGAAAACCUUGAUCAAUUUUUAAUUUGUAUUACCUAGAAGUUUAAAAAGGAUAUAAUCAUCAAGCUAAAUACAUCUUUACCUUUACAACAAAUUAAUGAAAGUGAAUUUAACAAUGUGGAGUAAUCAAGAAUGGGCAAUAUCAUUUAAUAGUUGAAAUUCAAAUUUUGUAAUUCAUAAAAAUUGACGGAUCAAAGACUAGACCCAUGCGAGACAUUGACAUAACAACUAGUGGGGCUAAUAAAAUUUUUGGAAGAACUCAUUGGCUCGAUUCAAUUUAUUAAUAUUCCGUUUUUCUAUCAAUAUUUAAGCUAGAUGGAAACUAGAUUGUUUUGAACUUUCAAUAAUUGAUGACUUUGGAGGUGUAUACAGUGAACUUGUCUAUUUAAAAGGGAGUGUAGACAAAAAUGUCUACCUCAUAAACCAUGAGUUUUUGACUAGUAAGAGCAUUCAUUCAAUAUUCCAACAUGGUGGCUAGUCAGAUAUAUGUGAUUGAUUGAAACAAUUUGGAGAAAUUUUUUGGGUUAAAGGAAAGCUUAAAAAAUCUAGGGUUAUUUGAUUAAAAGGGUUUUUGAAAACCCAAUUUUUUAAAUUUAACCUCUAUCCAUUUUUUGGUCAUAUUUGGACAAAAAUGUUUUCAUUAUUUUCUUAUAAAAAUAACAAUCUCUUUUAAAACCUAUAUGUAAAUAUUUGAAAUGGUAAAAGACAUUUAUGUCAAAGGUGAAUUACUUUUCAAGAAAAAAAAUACGAGAAUGGUUAGAUUCAUAAUAUGAGGAUUAUUUCACUGUUUUUAACCAAAUAUUUCAAAAAUGUAUAAUUUGAUAUAUCGUUUUCUUUCUUGUAAUGAUCUUUGAUUUUCCAUGAAUUGACAUUAUAAGAGUCUUCUGGCCCCAUUGUCAUCCCAGAAGUUAUUUCAAUUCCCACUUGUUUUGAAUAUUCCUGUUUUCUAGAUUUUCUUAGUCUUCCAUGCUUUAUAAAUCAACUCUAGGCAAAAUUUUCCUCUUCUAUGACCAAAUUUUCCUCUACUAUUGCCUUUUAUUUCAUCUUCAAUCAUGUGCACCUGCACAUGGUAAAGCCAUAUUGAUAGCAUAAAUUGGAGCCGGUUUUUCUAGCUAUCAGUUCUAGAACAGUAGAAAAAUGUAUGAACUGAAAUCUGACUUAUUUAUAUCAGUAAUGACAUUUUUUUUAAGGUGGAUGGAGUGAAGAAAAUGAUGAACAUACCUCCCCAAGAAUGCUUGUCAACUACAUAUAUGAAUGUAAUACCUUUUCCUUACUAGCUUAAUCAUCCAUUCUCUUUGAUUUCACAACUCUCAAUUUUAAGUCAAGCAUACUGGUGAAGGUCUGUGUCAAAAAUCCCCCUUGUCAUUGAUUACACUGCAGAUAGGGAUAUGAAUAUAAAUAUAUUUACUUGAUCAAUGAAGAUUAAUUAAGACUUUCAUAUUUUCCAGCAGAGUUAGGCUAAGCUUAGAAGAAAACAAAGGGUACUUGGUUCAGUAGCGGAAGCUUCCUAUUGACAAUCAUCACCUAUCAAUUAUAUAUUUGAUGAAAAUAUAUAAAUAUAUUAAAUAAAUUAUCCAUGCAAUUUGAGGUAGGAAAUCCUUUAAAAGGGAUAGUAGAGACCCUCUUACUUGAAGAACAUAAAGCAGAGGUUCUAACCACAGAGAUCUAGGGGAAUCAAAUGGGGAUUAUGAGUCCUCCUCUUUUCCUUCUCUCUUUCAUUCUCUUCACUGUGAUGAAGUGUCCAACACUGGCUCUCAAACGGGCAAGCAUUAUUCUCUAUCUCUCUCAAUUCUCUAAGUGGCUAACUACCCAUGUUAACCUGUUUUAUAGAACCUCAUGUCAUGUGGUGUAAUAUGAUUUUGUUGUACCCUUUUUCUACAGUCAUAUGUGGUGUACCUAGGUAGUCAUUCACAUGGAGCUGAACCUACUUCUGUAUUGGGGAAGAUAUAAUUAUUGGAAACCUAGACACUGGUAAUCUUGAUUGCUAACCAGCUUUGAGAUUUGGUGAAGUUUAAAAUGCUAAUACUCUUUCAAUGAGUUAUCUAUAUUCGGUAGCAUUAAUCUUUUGAAAUAAUAUCUUGGCUUGCCUAUCAGAAAAAGCUUGAGGAAUCAACAAGCAAGCUAGUGUUACUGCAUUCGUACAAUGCAUAGAUAAGACACUCCUCAACUACACUAGCACCAAAUCAUAUUAGCUGCAAUCCUAGUUUUUAUGAUUUUUGACUUAGUAAACUAGAUUUUUAAUGAUUUCUUGGACUUUACAUAGGUGCCGGAUUAAUUGGGUGCUAAUUGACUUGAAUAAUCAAAGUAGACCAAAUGAAUAAUUAGUUUGCAUCUACGAAGUCAAGGAGGAGUGUUGAAUUUUGACUUAGUAUUUGCUGGAAUUUGAAUUUUGAAUAUUGCAGCUGGAGUCUUGCGCAAAAUCUGCAACAUCUAGAUAUUUUCUUAUUUUUAUUUGGUCAAGAUUUGGUUUCUAUUUUAUAGGAAGUAGUUGUUCAUCAUCUAGUAGCUUGAUUUUCUGCUAUUCUAAUGUCAUUUAAGUUACAAGCUCAUGUAUAAAUUCAGCACUCUUCAUCAAUAAUCAUAGUUCCGGCAGCCCAAAAAUAUAUAUUCUGUAUAAGUAUUUAAUCUUAUACCAACAAAGUGGUAUCAGAGCCAUAGUUAUCUUGAGGGGCCAGUGAGGUGAGUGAACCCAAACACCUUCUAAAAUCAUUUAGCAAUGGAAGAGUCAAGUCUCACAGUUGCACCAUCAAUUCUUGAUGGAGACAAUUAUGAAACUUGGGCUGUUAGAAUGACAGUUCAUCUACAAGCACUUGAUGUUUGGGAAGCAGUGGACACUNNNNNNNNNNNNNNNNNNNNNNNNNNNNNNNNNNNNNNNNNNNNNNNNNNNNNNNNNNNNNNNNNNNNNNNNNNNNNNNNNNNNNNNNNNNNNNNNNNNNAGAGUUAAGGAUCCUUCCCCAAUGACUGGGGUUGUGUUACCAUUGGCUGUGGAAACAAUUUUUUGUGAGGAAGGUCUAAGGGGUGAAACCUGUCUAGAAUCAAAAGUCAUAUGAUCUGUAGUACCAGAAUCAAUUAUCCAUGCACUAUUAAUAACAGGUGUAAAAGUAUUUAAAAACUUACCACCAUGAUCUGUAGCAGCUACCAAUGCAGAGGCUUUCUCAGCAACAUUAGCCUCUAUUUUAUUUCGGCAACAGUUGCAAUCGAGCUUUUCUUGGAAUCCUUCUUCCGUUGAUCACGAUUAUUAUCAUUAAUAACAAAGUGUUGAUAGCCUAAACAUGAUCUAAAGGUCCAUGGUUCAAACCCUCGGUUCCUCAUUGUUUUCCUGGUCAUACCAAGAGUCGUUGCUUUGAAAUUGUGGGAUAUCCAGAUUGGUGGGAUCAAUCUUAUUGCAGUGAGUGCAUUUGAAGGUUGACUUAUCAAUAUUAGGGCUUGUCUUAGGAUGGAUGAUCGCUGUCGGACUACCAUAGCGACAAAAUAUCCAGGAUUUCAGUUCCAUGGCUCUGAUACCAUCUUCAAAUUGAUAAAUGGUAGUUUUUUCCAUUCAUUACUUUCAUUCGUUCAUGUACAGAUAAUAUAUAGAGGGUAAUUACCAUUCUAAGAAUAAGAAGGAAUGAUACAAGGAAAGAAUGAUAUAAGGAAAUAACAACUAAUAUCCUAAUAUCUUAACUUUCCUAAUAUCUCAAUAUUCCUAAUAUCUCAAUAUUCUUAAUAUCUUAACUUUCCUAAUAUUUAAACAUUCCUAAUAUUUCAACACUAAAUAAUAUAAGGAAAGAAUGAUAUACGGAAAGCAUUCCUAAUAUCUCAACAUAUUUUGUAGAUGCUAGAGCUGCUAAUGCUUCUGAAAACGAUGAUUAAGUAAACUGAUACUCCAUCCAAAUUCCAUCUCCAGUUUGUUAAUUGGCAUCACCAACUGUAUAGCCAUGACUGGUAACAUGUGCUUUCUCUGGAUGUUGUAGAGACAACUUUGUUCUGUUGGAUCGCUGGACCCAAAGAAGGUGAAAGGGAAUAUUGUAUACUGUCUGGUUGCAGUAUACAAUAUUUUUCCUGUAAUCAUCCUUGUCGCUAGUAGAUAUUUUUCCAAUGCGUGUGCUUUGACCCGGAGGUCCCAUCAAUAAUGGGAAAGCGCUCAACAUGUGGAGAACCGUGCUCCAAGUCAAAGCCAACCCGUAAUAGAAUAAAUAAAGAAGUAAGGUAGAAGUAGUUGCCAGGUAUGGUUCGUCCUUUUAGGAUGAAGCCUACAGGGCUCACUGUAAAAAUUUUCAGGGUUUAUGUUACUAGGACAACUGCACAUUCAAGCCUGGCCCGCUGCUGAACCUAGUAACUCAUGGUACAAUGCUGGCAGCCUUUGGCUCAAGGCAGCAACACAGUUGGCUGGUUCUGAUGAUUCUUGGACCAACUACAAUGAACCUGCAGGAUGAAGAGACACUAGGGCCUCAUCAGCAAGCACAGGAACGUAUAACGAAAGCAACAGUGCUACGCCAUUGACAAUUCAAGUCUUCAUACGGCACCAGCUUUGCAUUACCUAGAGGCUUAAAAAUGAUAUCGCCAUCAAGUUAAACACUGCCUUAAACACAGCGAAUGAAUUAAAGCGAGUUUCACAAUGUGGAGAUAUCAAGAAUUGAUGAUAUCAUUUGAUAGUUGAGUCAAAUUUUUUAACAUGAUAAUUUUCUCUAGUAGGACCUUCCCUCCUAGGGACUUUCCGGUAACCUUCACUUGGAGAGCCUUCUGGCCCCAUUGUAAUCCCAGAAGCUAUUUCAGAGCACACCGGUUUUGAAUUAUCCUCUUUUCUACACUUUCUUAGUCUUCCAUGCUUUAUAAAUCAACGCCAGGCAACAUUAUCCUUUACCAUGACUAAGCAUGUAAAAGAUGGUCAAAUUGUUGGUAUGAAAAGACCAUGUUGAGUAUUUCCUUUCAUUUCAUUUUCGAUCAGAUGCACCUGCAACAAAGUGGUAAAGCCAUAUUGAUAAAUUUUUUUCAUGUAGUGGAGCCGGUUUUUCUAGGUAUCGGUUUUAGAACAGUAGAAACUUAUGAACUGUGAUCUCCAACUUAUUUAUAAAUAGGUGAUGACCAUGCUGCCUCAAGAAUGCAUAUCGAUUACAUAUAUCGAUAUUAUACCUUUUCAAUAUGAGCUUAAUCAUCCAUUUAAUUUCUCUCAUUUCACAAUUCUUAUCUGAUUUUAGUUUAAUUAUACAUGCUGGGGAGGGUCUAUGUCAAGACCCCCAUGUGAUAGGGUAAGGAUAUAAGAUUAUUUAAGAUUUUCUUAUUAUCUUGUGACUUAGGAUAAGCUUGAAAGAAAAGAAAAGGUACUUAGCAAAAGUUUCUAGAGGUGUACAAAAGCUUCCUAUUGACUAUUAUUACCUAUCCAUUAUACAUUUUGAUAAAAAUAGAUUAAUAUUGAAUUAUGCAUACAAUUUGAGGUAGCAAAUACUUUAAAAGGGAUAGCAGAGAUCCCCCCUUAAAUCUUAAUUGAAGAACAUAUAGCAGAGGUUCUAAACCCAGAGAUCUAGGGGAAUCAAAUGGGGAUUAUGAAUCUUCCUCUUUUCCUUCUCUCUUUCAUUCUCUUCUAUGUGAUGCAGUGUCCGACACUGGCUCUCAAACGGGUAAGCAUUAUUCUCUAUCUCCCUCAAUUCUCUAAGUGGCUAACUACCUGUCUUAAUCUGUUGUUACUUGAUUUUUUUGUACCCGUAUUCUUCAGUCUUACGUGGUGUACCUAGGUGGCCAUUCACAUGGAUCUCAACGUACUUCUGAAAUGGAUCUCAACAGAAUUACUGAUUCCCAUCAUGAUCUUUUGGGUUCUUGCCUGGGCAGGUGAUAAACAUUGAUAUUACUAAUCAAUCCCACACUACUGGCUACUAUAUUAUUUGCUUUAGAUCCAUUCUAUUUUUGUUGCUGCAGCAAGGAGAAAGCACAAGAAUCAAUUUUUUACUCCUACACACAUCACAUAAAUGGUUUUGCUGCUAACCUGGAAGACGAAGAGGCAGCAGAGCUCUCAAGUACAGUACUCACACACAACAGCAGCUAUAGAUAUUUACAUUCUUUAUGCUUCGUUUCCUUCCCAUAGUUCAAUCUUUUUAAGCACCAUAAUGUUUCUAUAUUGUGUUUUGAAUGCAGAGCGGCCAGGAGUUGUAUCUAUUUUCUUAAACCAGAAACAUAAACUGCAAACGACUCGGUCUUGGGAGUUUCUUGGACUAGAGAGAAAUGGAGAGAUUCCUGCAGAUUCUAUCUGGGUUAAGGCGAGAUUUGGUGAAGAUAUAAUUAUUGGCAACAUAGAUACUGGUAAUCUUGAUUUUCUAACCAGCUUUGAGAUAUGGUAGAAUAUUAAAAGUUACUCUUUCAAUGAGGCAUCUCCAUUCAGUAGCAUUACUCUUUUGAAAUAUUUCUUGGCUUGCUUAUCAGAAACAGAUUGAGGAAUCAACAAACUAGUUAGUGUUAUUGCAUUCAUACAAUGUGAUCAAUAUGAAUUACUUCCCUGUAGCUUAUACUAAUGAAAUUUGUCUUUGAUAUAAAAUGAAAUUAAUUAAAUAGAAAAAGACUUAAAAUUUUAGCAAGGGGGUAUAUUUCAUUAUUUAUAGCUAGCGGCUUAAAUUGAUCAAUCCACCCUCAUUAAUCAACUUUGGUUUUUCUUUUUCCUUGGCCUAAUGGUUUUCUAAAUCCAUGGUGGUUGUGGUAGGUGUUUGGCCUGAAUCAGAAAGUUUCAAUGACCAAGGAAUGGGACCGAUUCCAUCAAAGUGGAAAGGUUACUGUGAGCCCAAUGAUGACGUUAAGUGCAACAGGUUUUUCCCUCUUCACCUGCUCUCAACCUCAACUCCACAAGAAGCGUUAUAUGCAAAAUUUUCUCAUGUAACUAAUCAAAAGGGAAAGCAGAAACUUUCUUGACAUGAAGAGUAACAUGAUAGAUUUUUCUUAUUUUUGGUUUGUGUGUGAAAUAUCAAAUAAAUGUUGUAAUGAUUAGGAAGCUGAUUGGAGCGAGGUACUUCAACAGAGGGGUUGAAGCAAAGUUGGGGAGUCCGCUCAAUUCUUCCUACCAAACUGUACGAGAUACAAAUGGGCAUGGCACGCAUACACUGUCCACAGCUGGUGGUAGAUUUGUUGGUGGAGCAAACCUCUUGGGUUCAGGCUACGGAACUGCAAAGGGCGGCUCUCCUAGUGCUCGAGUUGCUUCAUACAAGUCUUGCUGGCCAGAUUGCAAUGAUGCUGAUGUAUUGGCUGCCAUUGAUGCUGCCAUACAUGAUGGCGUUGACAUCCUCUCCCUUUCAAUUGCAUUCGUAUCUCGCGAUUAUUUCUUAGACAGCAUCGCAAUUGGAUCUCUUCAUGCUGUCCAGAAUGGAAUUGUUGUUGUCUGUGCUGGCGGGAAUUCUGGGCCCACGCCUGGGAGUGUUACAAAUUCGGCACCAUGGAUUAUAACUGUUGCAGCUAGUACAAUUGAUAGGGAAUUUCCCUCUAAUGUCAUGCUGGGUAAUAACAAGCAAUUCAAGGUUGGUCCAUUAAUUCUACCAAUUUAAGAAAACACAUUUCUUUUAGUUUUCAUGGUCUGUAUAUCCACAUUUAUAUUCUUCUUGAUUCAGCUUUUGUGAUUUGUUUUGAAUCAGGGCCUCAGCUUCAAAACCAAUAGUUUAACAGCCGAGAAGUUUUAUCCCCUGGUAUAUUCUGUAGAUGCUAGAGCUGCUAAUGCUUCUGCAAGAGACGCGUAAGUAAACUGACAACCUAUCAAAAUUUCAUCUUGAUCUUGUUACUUGGCAUCACCAACUCCUAGGUCUCAUUCUAGAGGCAUCCGGAUUCUUCUGGUUUGAUGCAGAUAGACUCAGUUUGGUAACCAACUAUAUCUUACCACCAUAAAGGGACUGGUAAUAACAGCCUUCUUGGCCCUUUUAACUGCACAAAAUACAAAACUAAGGAUUUUGAUAAUUGGGAGUCAUCAAAUAGCACCAAUCCAUACUUUGUAGAGCAGGUUUGACUAGCUGUUGCUGUAUUUGCUUUCUGUCUGUGUUGUAGACAACUUUGCUCAGUUGGAUCCCUGGACCCAAAGAAGGUGAAAGGAAAGAUUGUGUACUGUCUGGUUGAUCCGAGUGGUCUUAAUGCACUUAAUGUUGAGAAGAGCUGGGUGGUUGCUCAGGCUGGUGGCAUUGGGAUGAUUCUUGCUAACCAUCUUACUACCGCUACUUUGAUUCCUCAAGCCCACUUUGUUCCCACUUCACGAGUCUCUGCAGCUGAUGGUCUUGCCAUUUUGUUAUACAUUCACACUACGAAGUAAAGAACUUAUUUACUUCCUGACACCGUGUAAUAUCCAUUUUCUGAGAUGACCCAUCUUAGUGUUUGAGGAUUUUUUUUCUAUUUUUUUUUCUUUUUUUCUUCACUUUCAGAUACCCUGUAGCUUACAUCAGUGGUGCAACUGAAGUGGGUACAGUCACAGCACCAAUCAUGGCUUCCUUUUCGUCUCAGGGUCCUAAUACGAUCACUCCUGAAAUCCUCAAGGUGGUGUUUUCUUUCUUCUAUGUAAAUGAACUAAUUGUUCCGUGGAGCAUUUUUUUUUCCUUUCACUCCUAUUGGAAAACUAAGCUCCAGCAAGUAUCAACAGUAGGUGUUUGACAUGAAACCCAACUGUCCAUUGAGUGAAAAAAAGUACCUAGACUAAUUAAGGAUCAUACCACAAGUAUGCCACAAAAUCUGAGGCAAGGAGUGUCAGUUGCUAAAACCGUUUCCUUAAUUUUCUUAACAAUAAUGUAAGAUCCAACAUUAUUUGAUGUCCAUCUACAGCCUGACAUCACCGCACCCGGAGUGCAAAUUAUAGCUGCUUACACAGAAGCAAGGGGGCCUACAUUUCUCCAAUCAGAUCAUCGUCGUGUUCUCUUCAACAUCUUAUCUGGUACUUCAAUGUCAUGCCCUCAUGUUUCUGGAGCUGUAGGCCUUCUCAAAAAAAUUCACCCUAAUUGGAGCCCAUCAGCCAUAAGAUCUGCAAUCAUGACCUCCGGUCAGUCCCAUAUGUUAAAUUUUCAUCAGAUCCGCAUUCAGACAUUUGUUAUACAGUAAUGCUGUUUUAAGAUUAUUAUUAACAUGAACAACUGUUGCUUAACAUUGACUACCAUAUGGAUCCCAGCGAGAACCAGAAGUAAUUUGAGACAACCUAUAGCAAAUGGCACACUAGCAGGGGGAAACCCCUUCAACUAUGGUGCAGGGCAUCUCUCGCCUAACCGUGCAAUGGACCCAGGCUUGGUCUAUGACUUAACCAUCACUGACUACUUGAACUUUCUGUGCUCUAUUGGCUAUAAUGCAACACAACUUUCAACAUUUGUGGACAAGAAAUACGAAUGCCCAUCAAAGCCCACGAGACCUUGGGAUUUAAACUACCCCUCAAUAACUGUCCCGAGUCUCUCAGGCAAGGUAACGGUGACUCGGACCCUAAAGAAUGUUGGAACUCCAGCUACAUACACGGUUCGAAUUAAGGCGCCUAGUGGAAUAUCGGUGAAGGUGGAACCUAAGAGACUGAGAUUUGAAAAGAUAAAUGAAGAGAAAAUGUUCAAGGUGACAAUAGAGGCCAAGAGAGAUGAUGGGGGAGGUGAGUAUGUUUUCGGAAGGCUCAUAUGGUCAGAUGGAAAACACUUCGUCGGAAGCCCUAUAGUGGUCAAUGCAACCACUUUCCAUAUGUAACCAUGUUUUUAUUCAGCCGUAUGCAAUAUCUCAAGAGUAAUUACCAUAAAUAAAUUACUCACCAGUAAUAAAAAGAACAUACCUUCGAUUUUAUUGUGAUAAUAUCAUCCAUGGAAAACGAUGAGUUCAUAAAGGAUGAGCUAAUAUCAUCUUAUAGAUGAGAUCUAUAGUUUAGAUAUUAAAGUGGCCAAAAGAAACUUGGUCUUGAUAUAUGAAAUUACCUAGAUAUCGAUGAAUAGGUGGUCUUUCAAUUAAUUGUAAGUGCAAACUCUAUUAUCAAUUUUUAUUUGUUUUUUUGGAUUAAUUAAUUUGUGAAAACACAUCAAUCCCAUGCAUAUACAAGCAAUAUCAAUCUCACACAAUGACACAAGAUAUAAAGUGGAAAAACAACUUGGCAAUAUAUCAUGUGUAAAAACUAUAAGGCAAACUCUUGACCACAAAUAAUCUACUAAAUACCAAAAAAUGGUUUAUAAAUUUAUUUAAUAGACAACACCUGCUCCAUACGAGAAAAUACUAUCCCUUAAAACCUUUAUUAAGGUUGAAGCAAUUUGAGUCCACACUCUUUUGAUAGUUGAAUGGUCCCUUUCAAGAAAAACUUGAAAGUUUGAGAGAUAGAAGCUCAAGCUUUGGGGGGUAUGAUUAUUUCUCUCUUAGGGUUUUUGUUUUUCAACAUAAUAAACCCUUUUAUAUUUGAAAAACUCUAGACCUCAAAUAUGGAGAGUUUUCCCACUUUAAAACAUUUCAUAAAUGGAUUUUAAUUUUAAAGUAAAAAAUGGAAUGGGAAUCACUAAAAAUCAAUUAGAUGUUUGAAUCUUGAGGGGGCAUUUGAAUCCCUUCUUGGGCUUUUGAAUGCUCUUCCUAUGCUCUAUCUCCAUUUUUACAAUUUUCAUACCAUCUUUCAUGCUAUUUCAAACUUAGGUUCACUCCCAAAUACACCCUAAGGAUCAGGCGGUCAAGACUCAUCUGGUCAUGUUGAUUCUUUGUGCCUUCGGACUUUAAGAAAAGGGGAUCAUCAAAUAGCAACAAUUCAUAAUUUGUAGAGAAGGUUUGACUAGCUUUUGCUGCAUUUGCUUUCUGUCUGUGUUGUAGACAACUUUGCUCUGUUGGAUCCCUGGACCCAAAGAAGGUGAAAGGGAAGAUUGUAUACUGUCUGGUUGGUCUUAAUGCAAUUGUAGAGAAGAGCUGGGUGGUUGCUCAGGCAGGUGGCGUUGGGAUGAUUCUUGCUAACCAUCUGACCACCACUGCGUUGAUUGCUCAGGCCCACUUUGUUCCCACUUCACACGUCUCUGCAGCUGAUGGUCUUGCCAUUUUGUUAUACAUCCAGACUACGAAGUAAUGUUCUCUCUGUCUCUAAAUGCUUAAUUCCAGGUUCUUUGCUUCCUGAUGCCAUGUUAAAUUCAUUUUCUGAGAUGGCCCAUUUUAGUGUUUGAGGAUUUUUUAUUUUUGUUUUUUCUCAUUCAGGUACCCUGUGGCUUAUAUCAGUGGUGCAACAGAAGUGGGUACGGUACCAGCACCAAUCAUGGCUACUUUUUCGUCUCAGGGCCCUAAUCUAAUCACUCCAGAAAUCCUCAAGGUGGGUUACAUAUUAUAGUCCCAUGUAAAUGAACCUACUUGUUCAGAGGAGAUUUAGUUUUAGUAUUUUUUUUCCACUCCUGCAUUGGAAGACAAAACUCCUGCAAGUAUCAAGAGUUGGUUUUGACAAGAACCCCAACUGUCCAUUGAGUGAAAAAAGUGGCAAGACUAGUUAGGAAGCAUACCACAAUAUCUGAGGCAAGGGGUGUCGGUUGUUAAAACCAUUUUCUUAAUUUUCUUCUAUUAAUUUAAGAUCCAACAAUAUUGAUGAUAAUCUACAGCCUGACAUCACCGCACCCGGAGUGCGAAUUUUAGCUGCUUACACAGAAGCAAAUGGGCCUACAGGUCUUCAAUCAGAUGAUCGUCGUGUUCCCUUCAACAUCGGAUCUGGUACUUCAAUGUCAUGUCCUCGUGUUGCUGGAACUGUAGGCCUUCUAAAAAAGAUUCACCCCCAUUGGAGUCCAUCAGCCAUAAGAUCUGCAAUUGUGACCACCGGUCAGUGCUAUAUGUCAAACUUUCAGUAGAGUUGCUAUUUAUAAAGUUUGUGCUGUUUAAAGGUUAUUAUUUACAUGAACAACUGUUGCUUGACGUUGACUACAAUAUGGAUCCCAGCAAGAACCAGAAAUAAUUUGAGACAACCUAUGGCGAAUGGUACACUUUCAGAGGCAAACCCCUUCAACUAUGGAGCAGGAUAUCUAUCGCCUAACCGUGCAAUGGACCCUGGCUUGGUCUAUGACUUGACCACCACUGACUACUUGAACUUUUUGUGCUCUAUUGGCUAUAAUGCAACCCAACUAUCAAGGUUUGUAGACAAGCCAUGCUAAUGCCCAUCAAAGCCCAUGAGCCUUUUGGAUUUAAACUACCCCUCAAUUACCGUCCCCAGUCUCUCAGGCAAGGUAACAGUGACUCGGA